CGACCCCAGGUCAGGCGGGGCUACCCGCUGAGUUUAAGCA
rnacentral:rRNA from 1 species